rnacentral:rRNA from 1 species
GACAGAGGCCCCAAGCGUUAGGCGGAAUCACUGGGCUUAAAGCGUGUGUAGGCGGAUCGUUAAGUGUCUUGUGAAAUCCCACGGCUCACCCGUGGAACUGCUGGGCAUACUGGCGAUCUUGGGCCAACUAGGGGCAGUCGGAACAAGCGGUGGAGCGGUGAAAUGCGUAGAUAUCGCUUGGAACGCCGAAGGUGAAACAGACUGCUGGGGUUGCGCCGACGCUGAGACACGAAAGCCAGGGGAGCAAACGGG